rnacentral:lncRNA from 1 species
CAGGCGUGGCUGUUUUUCUUACCCACUGUCACUCAUGCUGUAAGUAUCUGCUGCCAAGUGGAAAAUAAAAACACAAUGAUACAAGAACUUCACUCUGCAAAAAAAACAACAGUGUUUAGACUUCUCAGAGAGCCAACUAGUGUCGCAAUUGAUGCUGAAAGGCAUAUGGAUGCAUCGAUUUUGACUUUUUUUAUCCAAAAUUUCACAUCAAUGCAGCUAGAUUGGCUCUGUUGAUCAGGCAGUCAGCGUUUCAACCUGUCAAUCAAAGUGCCCACGCCCCCAAAAUAUUAGAGUGGCUUUUCUGAUAUUAUUGUGUUGAUAUUUUUGCACAAGGUUGCAGGUUCUUUCCACACCCGCAAGAUAGCAUUCCAAAAAAUGGCCACGUCUGAUGCUUGCAUGCCACCAGAAUAAUUUAGCCUGCCUUCAUAAGUGGAAUGUUUCAAUACCACUGCCAUCAUUGUUCUUAAUUGACACUAUAAAUAGAAUACAACAGUGUGUUCUUACUGUGUUGCUGUUUUGGCAUGAAGGACUGUUGCAUUUUUGUCGUCAAUUAAGACAAAUAUAGACGGCGAGCCUGCGAUGAAGACACUAAGAUACCGUGUGUAUACUCAUGUUGUUUCCUUCUGUCUAGAUCUUUGCUUGUGUUGUACUUACUCUCAAAUGUGCAUCUCUUUUUGGACAAAAUGGCAUUGACACACUGCAUGUUAUUAAAAAAUUGGAUUUUCUGAACACUUGAGGAGUUCAUUUUGUGUUUUUGUUUAAGCAAAUAAUGCUUUUCUCUCUCUCUUUUCCUUGUUUAUCAGACUUUUUUCCUUUGUUGUUUUUCAACCCAUCUUAACAGCAAGUGAAACAAUACCCAGCAGCCGUCACAAGAUAAGUUACUGACGCUCAGGAAGGUUUCCCUUCCUCUUAUUUUUUCUGACUUUUCCUCCGCAGGUCACUUCUAUGAAAAAAAAAAAAAAAACUCUGUGACUCUCCACCAUCUGUUCUGCACACACACCAGUAUACACAAACAAUGACCAUCACACCAUACUCCCACACAGGAUAUGCAAAUGAGUCUUGAGCUUCACAGCAUUAAGCAGCUAACUUCAUAAAGUCACGCACUCUCCCCCGAACUGAGAGUGAUAGAUCGCAUAUUUUCUGCCGCAUUUGUCAUUAAUGAAGUUAACUUUCUGAACUAAUCAACCCCGGCAGCCAUAAAUACUAACUCGCUCAGGAUAAGCCUGCAAACAACUCCAUCAUACACUUCCUGUUUUCCAGCACGUAGUCGGUGACCUCAGGAGGAGGAGCGCAGGAUGUGCUCCGAGUGGAAGAUACAGAUAGAGGGUUUCCUAGAUAGUAUUAAUUAGGACGCGUGUUUAACUUUGGCAGGAGGGGAUGGGAUGCAUCUGCUGUGCAACUGCAGGAAUGUUGUUUGUUCCAGAAAUCAUUGGAUGUAAAUUCAGAUCCCUGUCUCCAAUAAUAGUCUCAUCUACCGCUGCUUUUCAACUCCCUAUGCACCCUAUGAUACUUUUUCUGCUCCUCUUUGCAGCUGUACUUCUGAUCACAUUGGUUGCAUUCAGCAGUGAAGUGUGAGUAAACAACGUGUUGGUGUGAGAACUGUCGCGUCAGUGAUUUUCUCAGCCUGGUAUUUUUAGCCACCUUAUGAAACAAAGCGUCUUUCAAAUCACAGUUUUUUUUUUUUUCAGCCUGAUGUUGACCCUUCCUUUUUGCCAUCCUAAGAAAGACACACAUACUAAAUAGUAUCCUCAUCCUCCCAUUUAUACCACGAGGUAUAAAAGAGAGCAUUGUAAAAUUUCACAACACUGUUUUCUGUAGACUCAUGGUGAACGAGAAGUGACACAUAUGCCAGACAGCAUUUACUCAAUCAAUUUGAAUUGCUCAAUCUGUCUGCCACCACAAAACCAUCUGACCAAAAAGGCAGGCCAGAGAUUUAUUUAGACUCUUGGUUUGUUUGUGUGCUUGUUUGUUUGGGUUUGUAAAUGACCCAAACACGAUCUCCUGUAGGUUCGCCCAAAUAUCUUCCUCUUUUUCCUCCCUAGACAGACAGGCCUCAGACUCCAGCCCGGGCUCCAGAUAAGAUUUUGUCUGCAGGAACCACAUUUUGAGAGGAUGUUUGUGAUUUGAUCUUCAGCAAGUGGAAUAAUGUUGUGCUUUCAUUAAGUAGUUGACUUCCUUUGUAUCAUGCGAGGUUCUGAAAGUGUAAAAACUCGUGUAAGGUUGUGCCACUUCUCACUCUGUUCGUCUGAGAUAGUGUAGUCUAUUCCUCAUUGUUUGAAACUCCGUCAAGUGUCUCCACUUUGGAAUCCGCUGGUCUGGAGUGUGUAUAUGUGCCAAAGGUCAAACUUUCAGCUCACUCAUUCACUAGUGCUUCAACUUAAAACACAUUAGUUAGUUAUUAAUAGUUAGUUAACCAUUGCAAGUGCCGGUUAAUGGCUAUACUGAAUUGCUGAUGAGUAAAUGUAGAUCAAAGGAUGAGAUUAUACAGUUUUAAGUAAGUGUGCUUGGUUCAUUAUUUAGAUGCUACGUCUGCAUAUUUCACGCUUCAGGAAUUGCUGCAAACAUGUGAAUUAAAUGCAUGAACAUGUGAUCGAUGGUCUGUGGGAAAAUACAGUGAUCUCAAUUUGCAGGGGUACAGGGGUGUGUCCAAGCUUUUUUUCAAUGUGGUGACCCAGGGGAAGGGUGAUAGGAAUAGGGGGCACUGACUUAUGCACAUGCACACGUCUUAAAGAGCAUAAAAAGUGCAAGAAAACUCCUGUAUGCUGUCUACCUGUCUAAAUUGUACUUGUUGAUUGCAUUUCUGGCAGGCGUGGCCGUUUUUCUUUCCCGCUGUCACUCAUGCUGUAUCUGCUGCCAAGUGGAAAAUAAAAACACAAUGAUACAAGAACUUCACUCUGUAAAAAAAACAACAGUGUUUAGACUUCUCAGAGAGCCAUCUAGUGUUGCAAAUGAUGCUGAAAGGCAUAUGGAUGCAUCGAUUUUGACUUUUUUUGUCAAAAAUUUCACAUCAAUGCAGCUAGAUUGGCUCUGUUGAUCAGGCAGUCAGCGUUUCAACCUGUCAAUCAAAGUGGCCACGCCCCCAAAAUAUUAGGGUGGUUUUUCUGAUAUUAUUGUGUUGAUAUUUUUGCACAAGGUUGCAGGUUCUUUCCACACCUGCAAGAUAGCAUUCCAAAAAUUGGCCACGUCUGAUGCUUGCAUGCCACCAGAAUAAUUUAGCCUGUCUUAUUCAGAGGAAUGCUACGAUACCACUGCCAUUAUUGUUCUUAAUUGACACUAUAAAUAGAAUACAAAAGUGCGAUCUUUAGUGCGAUUAGACGGUGAGCCUGCGAUGAAGACACUAAGAUACCGUGCAUACUCAUUUUGUUUCCUUCUGUCUAGAUCUUUGCUUGUGUUGUACUUACACUCAAAUGUGCAUUUCUUUUUGGACAAAAUGGCAUUGACACACUGCAUGUUAUUAAAAAAUUAGGUUUUCUGAACACUUGAGGAGUUCAUUUUUGUGUUUCUGUUUAAGCAAAUAAUGCUUUUCUCUCUCUCUUUUCCUUGUUUAUCAGACUUUUUUCCUUUGUUGUUUUUCAACCCAUCUUAACAGCAAGUGAAACAAUACCCAGCAGCCGUCACAAGAUAAGUUACUGACGCUCAGCAAUUCAGUAUUGUCAGUAAACAUGCAGCAGUUAGUAUGCAAGUAUUGGACUGAUUCCUCUUUAUUGUAUCCGAAUAAUAGCAGCAAAAUUCUUUUUUCCAUAAUUUCAAUAUGUGCGAUAUACUUAAAUGGUUAAAACAGCUCAUUGCAACCUGAUAAACCAAGCUAUGUUAGUUGAUUUUGACUUCAGUCCUGCCUCUGACCACGUCAAAUAGCCAGAUUUAGAUUUUUUUAGGCGGCCAAUCAGAUUUAAGGGAGAGACCAAGCCACCUCUGGCCACCUUUCUAGACAUACCCCUGUCAAUUUUGAACCUUAAC